GAAUACUAACAGCAAUUACCUCGGAGAAGUGGGAAUACAGGUGAUUCUAACAUCUUCCUUUUGAUUCUUUGAAAUCCUAUUUUUCUUUUAAAAAACUUUGUUCCCAUUAUUAUAAAAUAUUAAGGUUAUUUUUAUUAUAGACAAAAAACAUAUAAGAAGGAGAGAUGAUGCUAGAAAAGCACCGGCUCACUCUUGGCAGCACUUGCAUAAACUGAGCCAGACCAGCAUUUUUGCUUCUUGAGGAUAAAUGUCCUUCCCUAUCUUUUUUUCUUGUUUACCACUGGAAUGCCAGUGCAUGAAACAGUGGCUGGCACUUUGAAAGUGCUCAGUAGCUCUUUGUGGAAUCAAUGAGUUACAAUUAUAGUCCUAUCAAGGUAAAUGAUGCGUCUUUUGGUAGAGUUUACACGCUUCUUGAGCCCUGGGAGGAAAGUCUUCUUUAAUGAAUGGUGUGACUGAUCUUGCUACCCUAUAGAGUGGUUGUCCCUCUUUGAAAAGACCUGCCAUGUGAGUGGAUCAUCACAUGGGUUUAAAUGGGCACAGGAUCACACAGGCGGGCCAGGUGCAAAAUGAAGCAUGUGGGCAUGAAAACAGGAGCGCCUGGUUUCACUUAAGUCCGUGGACACUACCCCUAGGGUGGAGCCCUGGCCUGGGACCCUGUCCUUCUCUAACCGGCACUUUCCUGCCCCCCUCUCAUAUCACAUUCACAUAGAGGUCUUCUUAUGUUCACAUGUUUCCUUUAUCCUUGGAUAAAUAUGUGGGAAUGGAAUUGCUUCCACAAAUACUAAAUGUAUUAUAUUUUUCAAUUCAGAAAGAUGAAAAAAAGGGGAGAGGGAGAACCUAAACCAAGAACAUUAUCCCCUCAACUAAGCCCCAUCAAAUACGAAUGCUGCUGAAACCUUGUCAGUAGAUGGAUCUACAUAUUGAAUUGAUAGAUAAAAGAUUCAUUCACAAGAUGAAAAUGAAAGCAAACCAAAUAAAAUCAUUACCUCGGGGGAAAUGCCAAAAGACAUUACUGUCUUUUGUGAAUUCACAUCAGAGAUGAGAUUU
rnacentral:lncRNA from 10 species